rnacentral:rRNA from 1 species
AUGAACGCUGGCGGCGUGCCUAAUCCAUGCAAGUCGAGCGAACGGACGAGAAGCUUGCUUCUCUGAUGUUAGCGGCGGACGGGUGAGUAACACGUGGAUAACCUACCUAUAAGACUGGGAUAACUUCGGGAAACCGGAGCUAAUACCGGAUGAUAUUUUGAACCGCAUGGUUCAAAAGUGAAAGACGGUCUUGCUGUCACUUAUAGAUGGAUCCGCGCUGCAUUAGCUAGUUGGUAAGGUAACGGCUUACCAAGGCAACGAUGCAUAGCCGACCUGAGAGGGUGAUCGGCCACACUGGAACUGAGACACGGUCCAGACUCCUACGGGAGGCAGCAGUAGGGAAUCUUCCGCAAUGGGCGAUAGCCUGACGGAGCAACGCCGCGUGAGUGAUGAAGGUCUUCGGAUCGUAAAACUCUGUUAUUAGGGAAGAACAUAUGUGUAAGUAACUGUGCACAUCUUGACGGUACCUAAUCAGAAAGCCACGGCUAACUACGUG